rnacentral:rRNA from 1 species
UGGGGAAUAUUGCACAAUGGGCGAAAGCCUGAUGCAGCAACGCCGCGUGAGUGAAGAAGGCUUUCGGGUCGUAAAACUCUGUUAUUGAAGAAGAACGUGUGUGACAGUAACUGGUCAUGCAGUGACGGUAUUCAAUCAGAAAGUCACGGCUAACUACGUGCCAGCAGCCGCGGUAUACGUAGGUGGCAAGCGUUGUCCGGAUUUAUUGGGCGUAAGCGAGUGCAGGCGGUCUUUUAAGUCUGAUGUGAAAGCCUUCGGCUUAACCGAAGAAGGCAUCGGAAACUGGGAGACUUGAGUGCAGAAGAGGAGAGUGGAACUCCAUGUGUAGCGGUGAAAUGCGUAGAUAUAUGGAAGAACACCAGUGGCGAAGGCGGCUCUCUGGUCUGUAACUGACGCUGAGGCUCGAAAGCGUG